AUCUGGGCGGCGAAAUUCAGGAUGGCUGGGCGGGCUUCGCGCACGUUCGGCCGUUUGAUGUUUUCGUCGCCGUUGCAGACGUCGCGACCUGUUUGUCGUCGGUCCAUGCUCCGAGGAGCCGCUGUCGAGCUCGUUGCGGGCGCGUUUCGGCGCGUUUCGCGGCGAAGGCACGCGGAUCUCUGGCUGACGACGGACAGUAAGCAACGGUGAGCGGCGUCGUUUCGGCGGCGUCGUUGCCGGUCGGCGACGAUUUCUUCGGGCCUCUUUCCGACCCGUCUUGAAACACGGACCAAGGAGUCUAACAUGCGCGCGAGUCGCGGGGUAUCGAGCGUACCACGGUGCGUUCGUUACGUCACGAAACCCGUAAUGUUGAAGGCGUAAUGAAAGUGAAUGGGGAAGAUGGCGUUCCGAGUACACGUUCCGUGAUCCAGUAUUGCGGCCGGACGCCCGCAUUCCCGGGGCGUCUCAACGGCUCGUCGCGGAUGCGGACGGUCGUCCUUCGGGGCGGUCGUCGGUCUGCGACGGACCGA
rnacentral:rRNA from 1 species